rnacentral:rRNA from 1 species
GACGAACGCUGGCGGCGUGCCUAAUACAUGCAAGUAGAACAGUUGCGAAUGGGUGAGUACCGCGUGUGUAACUGUCUCAUAGCGGGGGAUAACUAUUGGAAACGAUAUUUAAUACCGCAUACUGUGAGCUGUACCUGCGUUGUAUUAGGUAGUUGGUGCGGUAAAGGCUCACCAAGGCGACGAUCCAUAGCCGACCUGAGCGUGUGAUCGGCCAAUCUGGGACUGAGACAGCGGCCAGAAUCCAACGGGAGGCCACAGUAGGGGAUCUUCGGCAAUGGAGGGAAGUCUGACCGAGCAACGCCGCGGGAGUGAAGAAGGUUUUCGGAUCGGAAAGCUCUGUUGUUAGAGAAGCGGGAACUAACCAGAAAGGGACGGCUAACUACGUGCCAGCAGCCGCGGUAAUUC